rnacentral:rRNA from 1 species
GAUGAACACUAGCGGCAGGCUUAAUACAUGCAAGUCGAGGGGCAGCACAGGUAGCAAUACUGGGUGGCGACCGGCAAACGGGUGCGGAACACGUACGCAACCUUCCUUUAAGUGGGGGAUAGCCCAGGGAAACUUGGAUUAAUACCCCUUAACAUUAUGAGAUGGCAUCAUUUUAUAAUUAAAGCUCCGGCGCUUAAAGAUGGGCGUGCGCCUGAUUAGGUAGUUGGCGGGGUAACAGCCCACCAAGCCUACGAUCAGUAACUGGUGUGAGAGAACGACCAGUCACACGGGAACUGAGACACGGGCCCGACUCCUACGGGAGGCAGCAGUAAGGAAUAUUGGUCAAUGGACGCAAGUCUGAACCAGCCAUGCCGCGUGGAGGAUGACGGCCCUCUGGGUUGUAAACUCCUUUUAUCUGGGAAGAAAUGCAGAUUUUCUAAUCUGUUUGACGGUACCAGAGGAAUAAACACCGGCUAACUCCGUGCCAGCAGCCGCCGUAA